rnacentral:sRNA from 1 species
CCAUUGAGCUGUCUCUCCAGCCCAAGUAUAAUUUUAAUAAUUCAUAUCGAUGAAUAUCUAGAGCUAUACAAGUAGCGAUCACAAAGCAAUACGAUGCUCUAAGGGAGAUCUGGAUGCUAAAGGAAAGUGUGAGAGGCAGCUUCUAAGUGAGAUGCCACAAUGCCUGUGUUCCAGGUCCAGCUCUAGUUACUAAUAGCUAUUGGUCUUGAGCAAAUCAGUUUUCUAUGCCUUGCUACCUCAUCAGUAAAAGAGAGGUAAUUACAACUUCUAAUGCUGGUCUUGAUUAGAUUAGAAACUACGCGUAAAGUAAUUAGAAGAAUUUCAAAGACAUAGGGAGCCAUAGAUAGCAUCUGCUGCUGCAUAACACCUGACACUGGUCUCAUACCGUCCUACCCUUUAGGCAGGUGACAUGUUCCUUGGAGCCUCCCACACUAGAUGCAUGGAAUCUCUCUCAAGCCAGUGAAGGUCGCUUCAAAAUGGAGGUCCUAGGCACACUCCCACAGGCAAUGAAAACAGAACAGGACAAACUACAACUCUGGGGUAAGGUACUGUGCAGAUGAGCCCUGAGGAUGUAAUCUAGGGCCCGACAUGCUAGGCAAGCACUCUCUAAGCUCCACCCCCAGGCUCUACCAACUGUUUAGCAAAAACAUUUUCAGUCAGUGUUUUCAAGAAAAAGUGGCAUCCUUAUAAAACAUGAUUUUCCCUUUAGGCAAAUUUAUACUUCGACAAGAUUAAGGCAUAAAACAAAACAAUAUGGCCAAAUGAAGAAAGCAUACAAAAUUAACAACUUUAUUGUUCUGCAAAUGCAAGGUAAAGAGGGUCGGAAAAACUAUCAUGAAAUAGUAAAUCUCGAGCUACUUCUGAAUAAAUGAAAGCAGACGAAUAAAAUCUGGAAAGAGAGGAAGCAUGAUCAAAAGCGAUGAGAGAGUAAAGUCAGCACUCUCAACCCAAAGGAGAAAACCCAAUGGCAAAGAAAUAAAUAAAAAACAUGUCCACAAAAUCAUCGCAGCAUCACUCACAAUGGCCAGGAACAGCAGCGACACAGGGCGGCUCUGACGAAUGGGUGUGUGGGACAGCCACACAGAAGAGAACUAACUGUUCAACAACAGGAGCUAGUGCUGUGGUGAGCUUGAGAACACCACGUGAUAGAAGCUCAGCAAGGAGGCCUGACUAUUUAUAGGAAACGUCUAUAAGAAUGGGGGAAUGCUGGGAAAGAGGGAGGACCUAGGAGGAGGGUAACAGGUAAGGGAUCUGAAGUUUUCCUUAAGGUCAUGAAAAUGUUCUGAAAUUGUGACUAUGCAAAGAGACCCUGAAUUUGCACUUCAAAUGAUUUCCAUAAACUGCAUGCAUGGCCAUCAUGCUUAUUACAUAACUCUCUGCCAAAAGGCAGUGACAGGAAUAAGACAACUUUCUUUUUUUAGUUUUUGAUGCAAAAUAUAUAUGUAAUCUAUUUCUAUGCUUUUACAGUAGGUCUAAAAUGGAAGGAAAAGAUAUGACCUCAAAUAUUUACGAUGGCAAAAAACAAAAACAAUUAAAUAAGGUAUAGGUGUCUUUUUGCUUCUAUGUCUGUGCCUGGCGCCCAUGGAGGCCGAAAGAGGGUACCGGAUCUCUUAGAAUUGGAGUUAGAAACAGUUGUGAGCCACCAUGUGGGCGCUGGGAGUUGAACUUGGGUCUUCUGUAAGAACAGCAAGUAGUCUUAACCACUGAGCCAUCUCUGUCCAACUGCAUUUCCUGAGAGAUGUGGUAACCUAUCUGUGUGAGUGUCUUCACUGUGGAGCAUGUAUGUAAUGUGUAUCUGGCAUUGCUGUUUUCAGAAGCUCUGUUUUGGAAUAGGGAUUAUUUCUCUCUAAAGGAAUUAGCAGGUUGAAAACAUGGUAUCUGCUGGCUGCGUGUGUUGCCCUUCCACAGCAGUUGCAACAGCAAAGUAGGACGUGCCCUUCCACACAAACAUAUUCAGGGAGCAGAAUAGCUGUGACCAGCUAAGAAACCCAUCAUUGGUGGCAAGGGGUUUACAAUCACGGGAAGUCAGCUUCUGCGAGAGACAUGCAGGCCUUCACUUUGGGUGAGCCUAUCUGAGUAUUACUAUCCAACCAGUUUGUUCAGUGGGAAAAACAUGUCCCUAUCAGUGCCACAUGUGUUACAUAUGCCCAUGGAUGGCUGGAGAGAUGGCUCAGUGGUCAAGAGCACUUGCUGCUUUUCCAGAGGACCUAGGUUAGGUUCCCGACCUCACACAGUGGCUAACAACCAUUUGUAAUGGCAAUAGGAUUCAAUACCCUCUCUGGCCUCCAUGGGCGCCAGGCACGCAUGUCGUAUAUAUAUACAUACAUGCAAGCAAAAACACUCAUACAAAUAAAAAAGGAAUUCGAAAAUUCUCUACACUUUGCACCGUGCACGUAAUUUCCUUUCUAAAUGUGCCCAUUCACGUAACAGGGCAUUAGUCAUCUGAAAAUGACCCAUGAAAAGUCUGCGCUCUGGUUUUCUUUUGUGCAUUUAACUUUUUUUUUCCCGAGGGUGAUUUUAAAAUUUGUCAUUUGGUUCUCUAAAAGUUGUCAGCGUCGUUGUCGUCUUCCUCCUCUUCCUCCUCCCCAUCUUCCUCUUCUUUUUCUUCUUCACAAUCCAUGAAGGUUUAACCCCAUAUCAUUGGUGACAAAAAUCCUAAAAGCUUAAUUAAAUGCAGAUCUUAAAAACUUAUCCAAAGAAAGUAGGUGGUUGAUGCUCGGGGACCUUUCCUCCACGUGAACGAGUCGAAUUCUAACCGUGUAAAACAUAGGUAGCCUUGUCACAGAGCAAAGACUGGCACAGACACUGCUGUGAAGUGAACCGCUUUGUGAAGCAUAGGAGAGGUUCCUUCGUCAGUGUCAAGCUAAUGAGGCUGCAUUUCGGCAUAAAGGUGCCCCAGUGGCCAUUUGUGACAGCGCAGUGAUUAAACUCCCCACUCAUCGCUCCAAGACUGACAGUAGCUACUUCUGUGUAAAUGUCAUGAUUUCAUUUUAGGGUAAGGUGACAUUUCCUUAGAUUUCAAUUUAAAAAUCAUUGUGCGUUGUAUGCCAUGCAUAUGCAGGGGUCCCUGGAGACAAGAACAGGGUAUCAUAUGCCCUGGAGCUGGGGUUACAGGUGGUUGUAAAAUGGCCAGUGUCCUUUGGAAGGACAGCAAGCUCUUAACCACUGAGCAAUCCAGCCAGACCAGAAAUAACGGUUUGUUAAACAAUGGACCGCACACACGGAACAUUAGUCAUGCAGGUUAUACUGUCCAGUGAUGUACUCACGUAUAUGCAUGUUCGUCAGAGAUAGUAUGAGUAAUGUCAGUGAAGUAAAG